UCCGGGCGUGAGCAGCGUGUGCUUUAUUUGUGUCUUUUAGACUUUUGUGCGGUUGACCAUGGCCCAAAUCCGCGUUUAACCUGUUUGUAUACAGCGAGAACGUGUAAUGAAUAAUUUCAUACAUGUGCGUGGCUGGGGGCCGAUCAUUUUUGUAAUAAAGCUUUAUCAGUUGUAUAAAUAAAAAAGUUACGUUGGUAU